AGGGCUUGGUCAGCUCUGUUUUUCUAAAUCCGGCCCAAGUCAGGAGCAUCUGCCAGGAGGGAGAGGUUUGCCCUAAGCCUAUGGUUUGAAUAACUCUUUGCAGCUUUUCUCCUCUCCCAGGCACAUGAGGAGUGGGAAGGACGUCUCUAACCACUGGAUGCUGCCUCCUGCAAAGACCAUGGCAGCGUGUGGCUGUCAGCACACAGCAGACUCUGGGCUCGCUGCCUUCGGUCCAGCACCAAAUCAAAGCCUCCUCGCUUUGGGAUGAUCUUUCCCAUGGCACAUGGAGUGCAGAAACGUCCUGCUUUUACCACCAAAGGAGAGGAAAACAGGCAGUGGGCUGAGGCAUGGGUGAAGUACUGAGUUCACCUCUCUGCAGUCCAGCCAGGUACACAUUGCUUUUUUCUCCCAGAACUUAAUUAAAACACAUCUUUCCUCACAUCGUUAUGAUGCUCAAUGGCAAAUAUCGGUCACUCUCUAAUUACACCAAAAUUAACUUGUUUUCAUGGCUGAAGGGGACAGACCCAAAGGCAAUAUUGUUCCUCUGCACUGGGUUACUCUGGGAUGCGCUAUCUCCAGCAAGCAGGUAGAAACCCAGGGUUUAUAAUCUGGACCAGCACUCCCAUGGGCUGGACUGUGCUGAUGACAUCAGACUUGUCCAAUGGCAGACACACACAUUGGGCUGGGCUGGAUGAUAAAUCACAGCUGAUGCUUUUCCUGCUCUGUUUUGCUGGCAUAGGCACUGGUCUCAUGGGCCUUAUUGACUCCUGGCUGGAGGAGCAGCCCAUCAGCCAUGGUUUGCUGCCUCCUCAGAGCCCUCUCCUGUCGGCACCCUUCCUGGUGUGCCCAGGGCUCACUGAGGAAAGAGGAAAGCAAAAAUCCAAGCAAGUUUGAUUGAAUAUUGAGUUAAGUUUCUUUACCCAGACACAAAAUUGGACAUGUUGAGCCACAGCAGGGGCCCUCUUGGUGCAACAGAAUAGUCUGUCCUACAAAAGAAACCACCAGCUCCACUGUGGAUGUGAAGUUCCCAAUGGAAACAGGCACACUGUGAUCCUAUAGCCUUCCACUCUGCUGUGAUUUCAGUUACAACCAGACCUAUUCUCAUCCCAAUUCAGUUGGCCAUUGGCAUCAGCUGUUGCUGGUGAGUGAGGCUGGAUGCUGUGCCUCAUAGAGGGGUGAUGCAGUUCUAGAAAUGUAUUUAUGCUCCUUUGUGACACCCAUCCAGCUUGGUUGGAUCCUGCAGGGUUUUGGUUAUGAAAUGACUAUUUUCACAGUGAUGUUUUCCAAAUUCAGUUCUUCUUAAUAUGGAUUUAGUUUUUACUAGUGUCAAUUUUGCAGUAUUGUGUUCUGCUUGAAAUUACUGCUGCUCUAAUGUGCCAGAGAUCAGGAUGUUUUGUUCCAUUUUCUUGUCUAAACCUGACCAGUCCCAUGAAAUCAAAAUCUAACCUGUUAUACUCGGGUAUCUCAAAUUGCACUGCAUACAUGGGAAAUGAAUGCAUUUAGAUGUGUUGCCAG